UAACGCGAAGAACCUUACCUGGGUUUGACAUAUAGGGAAAUCCUCCAGAGAUGGGGGGUCCGUAAGGGUCCUAUACAGGUGGUGCAUGGCUGUCGUCAGCUCGUGUCGUGAGAUGUUGGGUUAAGUCCCGCAACGAGCGCAACCCUCGUCCUAUGUUGCCAGCACGUUAUGGUGGGGACUCAUAGGAGACUGCCGGGGUCAACUCGGAGGAAGGUGGGGAUGACGUCAAGUCAUCAUGCCCCUUAUGUCCAGGGCUUCACGCAUGCUACAAUGGCCGGUACAAAGGGCUGCGAAACUGCAAAGUGGAGCGAAUCCCAAAAAGCCGGUCUCAGUUCGGAUUGGGGUCUGCAACUCGACCCCAUGAAGUCGGAGUCGCUAGUAAUCGCAGAUCAGCAACGCUGCGGUGAAUACGUUCCCGGGUCUUGUACACACCGA
rnacentral:rRNA from 1 species